rnacentral:lncRNA from 1 species
GGCAGGAUGGAGGUGUAGUGACAGAGCUGUGUGUGGGGUCAGUACAGGAAUAGCAGAGAGAGCUGCAGGGCAGGAUGGAGGUGUAGUGACAGAGCUGUGUGUGGGGUCAGUACAGGAAUAGCAGAGAGAGCUGCAGGGCAGGAUGGAGGUGUAGUGACAGAGCUGUGUGUGGGGUCAGUACAGGAAUAGCAGAGAGAGCUGCAGGGCAGGAUGGAGGUGCAGUGACAGAGCUGUGUGUGGGGUCAGAACAGGAAUAGCAGAGAGAGCUGCAGGGCAGGAUGGAGGGGUAGUGACAGAGCUGUGUGUGGGGUCAGUACAGGAAUAGCAGAGAGAGCUGCAGGGCAGGAUGGAGGUGUAGUGACAGAGCUGUGUGUGGGGUCAGUACAGGAAUAGCAGAGAGAGCUGCAGGGCAGGAUGGAGGUGCAGUGACAGAGCUGUGUGUGGGGUCAGUACAGGAAUAGCAGAGAGAGCUGCAGGGCAGGAUGGAGGUGCAGUGACAGCUGUGUGUGGGGUCAGUACAGGAAUAGCAGAGAGAGCUGCAGGGCAGGAUGGAGGUGCAGUGACAGAGCUGUGUGUGGGGUCAGUACAGGAAUAGCAGAGAGAGCUGCAGGGCAGGAUGGAGGUGCAGUGACAGAGCUGUGUGUGGGGUCAGUACAGGAAUAGCAGAGAGAGCUGCAGGGCAGGAUGGAGGUGUAGUGACAGAGCUGUGUGUGGGGUCAGUACAGGAAUAGCAGAGAGAGCUGCAGGGCAGGAUGGAGGUGCAGUGACAGAGCUGUGUGUGGGGUCAGUACAGGAAUAGCAGAGAGAGCUGCAGGGCAGGAUGGAGGUGCAGUGACAGAGCUGUGUGUGGGGUCAGUACAGGAAUAGCAGAGAGAGCUGCAGGGCAGGAUGGAGGUGUAGUGACAGAGCUG